AAUUGUUGUGCAAUUUUUCCAUUUCCAGCUGCCAAAACAUAAACACUUGAACAAGUUGACUUCUUCUAUCUUUCAUCACCCCUUUGUGGCAGAGAGAUAGAGGAGAUACAGAAAUAUACAUAUAUAUAUAUAGAGAGAGAGAGAUGAAAGAAUACAUAGGAAUGGUGGGAACACAGGUGGCACAAGUGUUGCUAAUGAUAUUCAGCAAGGCAGCCAUUGCAGAUGGCAUGUCAAGCUACUCCUUCAUUUUCUACUCAAAUGCACUUGCUUCCCUUAUCCUUCUUCCCCUUUCCCUCUUUUUCAACAGUUCACCAAAUAAUCCUCCACUUAGCUUUAAUGUGCUAUGUGGAUUUUUCAUUGUUGGCCUUUUUGGUUUUUUGGCACAGAUAUCUGGUUAUACUGGUGUGUCAUUAUCUUCUGCUACUCUUGGAACCACAUUGCUCAAUCUCAUACCUGGUUUUACUUUCAUACUUGCCAUCUUUUGUGGGAUGGAAGCUGCCAACAUUAAAAGCGCAACCACGCAGGCAAAAUUUAUUGGCACUGUAGUGUCAAUUGCAGGGGCCGUAAUCAUGACUCUUUACCAAGGCCCCCCAAUUCUUUCAUCUACUUUAGAAUCAGAACUCACAAAGAAUCUUCUCGUGCAACCAUCAAAUUGGGUGCUUGGAGGAAUCCUCUUAUCAGUUGACGCUCUCUUUGCUUCCAUGUAUAUCGUUUCUCAGGCAUUUGUCCUUAAGAAACACCCUUCAGUGAUCAAGCUGAUGUUCUCUUACUGCUUUGUUUGCACUAUCUUAUCAGUUAUAGCUUCUUUGGUUGUGGGAGCUGACUUGAGUGGUUUUAAUAUACAGCCUAGGAAUAGGUUGCUUUCUGUCCUCUACUCGGGGGUUUUCGGAUAUGCUUUUCAAGUAACGGUUCAAUCAUGGUGUGUACAAAAGAGAGGCCCAUUGUUUGUUGCUAUGUUUCAUCCGGUGGGAAUUGUGAUCUCGAAUUUGAUUGGAGUCGUCUUCUUAGGCGAUGGUUUCUAUCUUGGAGGUUUGUUAGGAUCAAUUAUUGUUGUUAUUGGGUUUUAUACUGUGAUGUGGGGGAAAGCCAAAGAAAAGAAGACUCUGGAAGUAAACUUGGGUGGGAGCUCAAAGAUGGGCGAUGAAGUGGCCCCUCUCUUGCAAGAUGUGGAGGAGCAGAUUACAUCUCCCUCGCCAUAAAACUAGCCCGAUGCCAGAUACGUAACCAUAUUAGUCUACAUAUACAUGGAUCAGUGGAAACACCGGAAACAAGACAAAAAGAGAUUCUAUAUAUACCUUCGGCAAAGUUAACCAAGCGAAUGGAUCCAACGCUCUUUCCGUCGCCUUCAAGAACUUGAACACUUUUGUAGAGAUCAGGGCAGACUUUAGGGAAGAUGUCGGUGGAUUCCAGGAUGGUUUUCCAAAAUUUAUCUGCACCUGACUUUACUUUCACUUCAACAUCAAGCUUACCUAUGGUUGCCAUUUUAAUAAUAUACAAGUCAAAGUCAAAAGUCAAAACAGAAUUGAAUACUUGGAAUGUGGUGGUGAUUGAAAAGUCUAGUUAUGGUAUGAAGAACAGCCAUGAUAUCUACUUGCUUUAUAUAUAGUCACAACAAUGAGGAUAAAUGCAUAGUUAAAGGAGAUGUUAGUUGGAAUUUGCAUUGACUAUGGGGAGGUCAUUUAUGGGGGCAUCUUGUACUUAUUUAUUUUUUAAGCUGUAAAAAAGUUUACGGAUGAAAUGUUGAAAAUUCCAACGUAUUUAUUA